UUUUUUUUUAAAUUAUAAGUUUAAAUUAUACUUUUAUUUAACAAAAGUUGGAAAUUUGUCAAAAAAACAACAACACAGGUUUGUGCACUUGCACAUUUACUAGCUUUUUAUUACUUAAAAUUUCAGCACAAUUCACUAAAGAUAAUUGCUUAUCUUUUAGUUUGUGCUGUACCAAACAAAAAGAACUGCUCAAACAUUCAAAAAUUAUUUCACAUUGACUUAGAAUCACAAUUAUAAAAAUGAUGAUGAAUACGUCUUCUUGAUUGUUUAUAUCUUUGAUUUGGAACUAACAUUUUACAGUUUAUUUUAUAACAUUACAGAGAUGUUAACUGAACUUCUUGUCUGUUAAAACUGCAAUGAUCAUUGUACAUGAAAUUUUCAAAUUUGUUUUGAAAUGUGAUUUUACAGCUGAGUUUAGAACACAAAUAUUUUAACAUUGUUUUAUAUUUUUUAUUAUCAGAUAGCAAUAAAUAAUUUUAAAAUGUAAUAAAGUUGAUGAAUUUUUCAACUAAGGUGUAGCAAAGGUUUGUGUUUUUAGGUGUUCGCUUUAUAUGUUUGAUGAAAAGAAAUCUGUGAAAUGAAAUGAGUAAAAAUUGGAAGAUGCAAGAUCUGGAGAGUAUGGAGGGGGACAACUUUUACCAGCCUAGUUCGAAGACUUUACAUUUUACUCUGAGUGAGGUUGUAAGUGUGUAAGUUUAGAGGUUGCGCUCAUCACUGUAAGGUAAAGGUCCUGGGUUCGAAUCUAGCGGCCCUCCAUUCAAACCCGACAUAUUACAAAUGCGCUAAAUGUGUUUUUCCCCCCCAAAAAACACCUACACCUUGAGGGUUGAUAUGACCUCUGCUGUUGCAAAUCCUAGUAAUAAAAAGCUAUGGUGAAACACAUUGUUGCUUCUCUUCAAAAGGGCUGGAUAUUUUUUCUUCAAUACUCCCCUAAGCCCUAGCUUGAAACAGAAUACCCCUGCCGUAGGGUUUUGUUGCGUGGUAAUAGUUCCCAAUAAAUUCUUCUUCUAAUAUAAUAAAAUACUCCAUUACAAGGUAGGAAGUUACGAAAGUGCAAUAACAUAUUUGGACUUUUUCGGGGGAUUAAAAACUUAAAGGCAUUCUUCUGGACUCUUGGAAGGUAAGGGAAUGUUUCUCCCACAUUUCAAAAAUUACUCUUGGACAUGUAUUGGUAACCUAGGCCGUUUAGAUGUAUACAGAUAAUCUAGAGUUGAUCAAUCUAGAGUUUUACAAUUUAACAAAGCUGUUAUUUUUUAACUAAGUAGCAGUACAUUCUCCAGUUUUAAUGUAAAAUUUUUGGCAGAUUUUUUUUCAUUGUGGAAAAAAAUAGAAAGAAUCCACUUUUUUACUGCAUGCUCUGUUUUUAAAUAUGAAGCAGAAUGUACCAUUUCUAACCCCUAACUUCCUAACACCCCAGAAAACCCAGCAUUUAAAAAAAAAUGGAUAAUUAAAAAAGAAAAGAUGAAUCUUUCCAACAAAAUUGGCACUUGACAAAUAAAUUUAUUAGAAAACCAACCAAAAAGCAAAUACAGAAAAAACAGGAAUAGCUCACUGUCGCUUACAAAAAAAUAAAUAAAUAAAAAUAAGCCAAAAAACUCCUGCAAAGUUAGUUCCUUAAUGUAAGACUGUCCUCAUGCUCAAGUACACAUAA